rnacentral:rRNA from 1 species
GACGAACCGUGCGAACGUUGUUCGGAAUCACUGGGCUUAAAGGGCGCGUAGGCGGGCUACCAAGUCUGUGGUGAAAUCCUCCAGCUCAACUGGAGAACGGCCGUGGAUACUGGGAGCCUCGAGGGAGAUAGGGGCAGGCGGAACUGAUGGUGGAGCGGUGAAAUGCGUUGAUAUCAGGAGGAACACCGGUGGCGAAGGCGCUCAUCUGGCCCAAUACUGACGCUGAGGCGCGAAAGCUAGGGGAGCAAACGGG